GUGGGUUACGGAGACAUGAGACCGGUGACAGUAGGGGGGAAAAUUGUGGGGUCCUUAUGCGCUAUCGCUGGGGUGUUGACCAUUGCCCUACCGGUUCCCGUGAUCGUAUCCAAC
rfam:Scleropages formosus scaffold16772, whole genome shotgun sequence.